AGACAAAGAAUAUUCUAACAAAUUGACGAGCCAGCCAGUCUUUAGUCAGUUUUCUACGGCAAGCCUUUACCGCACGUUUGUUUUUUACUUUUCCUCUUCCGGCAAAGGGGGGAUAGUGUGCAGCUGUCUGAAGAGAUCAAAGAGAUCCUCUGACUAAAAACAAAAAACCUAGUAGUGAUCAGAAGAAACUGUAAUUCGACUCUACCAGACCAUUACAGACCACGUGGUGAGAAGGAAGAGCAUUCCAGAACCGUAUAUCGUACUGAGAGCAGAUUGCGCAAGCAACUGAUCUACGGUUGUAUGUAAGAGUCGAAUGGACAAUGCAAAUCAUUACAAAGUCCAUCAUAUCAAAGACACCUGGCAUUCAAGAAGAGACAAUCCUUUAUGUUUCUAGCAGUUCUGAUGGCGACAAUACUACUGAUUGACUGUUCUAAGGAAGAUCUACAGAGUCAGGAAGAUCUACCGAUUUGACAACCAAUGUAUAGCCAAUUUAACAAUACUCAAGGGUUCCCAGACAUAAUUAAGAAGAAAAGAGAAAUUGAUGAU